CACUGGGCAGACAAUAGGCAGACCCAGGAUAUGUCUAACUGUAAUCUGGGUGAGAGAAAUGUGAAGCUGGGUUUGUAUUCUAAACUGUCAGCUUGGGGAAGUUCCUCUCCUCACCUGCAAAAUGGGCAUCACCUGCCUUUAUGCACAGGGCCGUGUGGGGCUACAUGAAAUAACAGAAGAGUGGGCAGGUUACUUGGUAAACUGUCAACAUAGGAAGUAUUGUGCCAGAAAACCUGCACUUCCAAAGAAAGAGCACUUAAAAGACACGAAUCCUACUACUGCUGUAGGAGAGUAUGCACGGCAGGCAGGUGAUCUCCUAAGGCAGGUGGUCAAUCCCCAACUAAUCCUAGAAAUAGGAAGGAAUGAGGAGACCUGGUCUCAAUCCCUCUACCACUGCAAGCUCUUUGUGACUCCCCACAUGGAGAUACCCCCAAACCCACCCUAAGAACUGGCAUUUCAUGCUUGAGAAGGCCUCUGUUCUAACCUCACUGGUCUUACCUGUUGCUUCAUUAGGAACACCUGCUCAUCUUCUGCUGCCAACUCUUUGUCAUGGACCAGCUGUGAAGCAAUAUACACAUCUGUGGCCACAGGCCAAGAAUACUCCCAACCACUGUUUAUGCCGAAAGAAGAGUCUGAGGUUCGGGCUUCAACACAGGUCUGGGGAAUCCCUGCUGAGACUGCAGAGUAAUAUUUUUCUAGCCUGGCACAGACCUCUCCCAAAACCAGCCAUGGCAUGUAGUCAACUGGCAUUUUUGUCUGCAGAACAUCACAUGAGGGGAUCCAGUAAUAGUAAUCCAGAGGCAACAGCAGCACUGGCAGGACUUAAUGGGAAACACCACCAACUCCAGAAUCUCGCUGUCGCCAGGUUGGAGUACAGUGGCGCAACCUGGGCUCACUACAACCUCUGCCUCCCAGGUUCAAGCAAUUCUCAUGCCUCAGCCUCCCAAGUAGCUGGGAUUACAGGUGCCCAACACCAUGCCCAGCUAAUUUUUGUAUUUUCAAUAGAGAUGAGGUUUUGCCAUGUUGGCCAGGCUGAUCUCAAACUCCUGACGACCUCAGGUGAUCCACCCACCUUGGCCUCCCAAAGUGCUGGGAUUAUAUGCAUGAAUCACCAUGCUCGGCCCUAAAUCCUUUAAGCAAUUGAUGUGACUACCUUUCUGAUGGGAGGUUUCACAAUAAAGUCUUCAUAUGCAUCUUC